GGCAGGCUAGAGUCUUGUAGAGGGGGGUAGAAUUCCAGGUGUAGCGGUGAAAUGCGUAGAGAUCUGGAGGAAUACCGGUGGCGAAGGCGGCCCCCUGGACAAAGACUGACGCUCAGGUGCGAAAGCGUGGGGAGCAAACAGGAUUAGAUACCCUGGUAGUCCACGCCGUAAACGAUGUCGAUUUGGAGGUUGUGCCCUUGAGGCGUGGCUUCCGGAGCUAACGCGUUAAAUCGACCGCCUGGGGAGUACGGCCGCAAGGUUAAAACUCAAAUGAAUUGACGGGGGCCCGCACAAGCGGUGGAGCAUGUGGUUUAAUUCGAUGCAACGCGAAGAACCUUACCUG
rnacentral:rRNA from 1 species